rnacentral:rRNA from 1 species
GACGAACGCUGGCGGCGUGCUUAACACAUGCAAGUCGAACGGCAAGGCCCUGCUUUUGUGGGGUGCUCGAGUGGCGAACGGGUGAGUAACACGUGAGUAACCUGCCCUUGACUUUGGGAUAACUUCAGGAAACUGGGGCUAAUACCGUAUAGGAUCUCCUGCUGCGUGGUGGGGGUUGGAAAGUUUCGGCGGUUGGGGAUGGACGCGCGGCUUAUCAGCUUGUUGGUGGGGUAGUGGCUUACCAAGGCUUUGACGGGUAGCCGGCCUGAGAGGGUGACCGGCCACAUUGGGACUGAGAUACGGCCCAGACUGCAACGGGAGGCAGCAGGGGGGAAUAUUGCACAGUGGGCGGAAGCCUGAGGCAGCAACGCCGCGGGCGGGAUGACGGCCUUCGGGUUGUAAACCGCUUUCGCCUGUGACGAAGCGUGAGUGACGGUAAUGGGUAAAGAAGCACCGGCUAACUACGUG